rnacentral:rRNA from 1 species
UACAGAGGGUGCUAGCGUUGUUCGGAAUCAUUGGGCGUAAAGGGCGUGUAGGCGGUUUGUUAAGUCAUGUGUGAAAUCCCUCGGCUCAACCGGGGAACGACGCAUGAAACUGGCAAGCUAGAGUACCAAAGAGGGGGGUGGAAUUCCCGGUGUAGCGGUGAAAUUCGUAGAUAUCUGCAGGAACACCCGUGGCGAAAGCGGCGAGCUGGAUCACUACUGACGCUGAGGAACGAAAGCUAGGGGAGCAAACAGG